AGCUUCUUCACAAUGUUAAAGAGUGUCAGUGUUGCACGGAAAUAGAAGAGUGCGAACAAGCACUGAAUAGCGAACUCGUUUUGCAAGAGCUCAACACUGAGAAUCCUCCGACUUGCAUUGUCAACCAUCCUGGUUUUUAUAGCCUGUGCUUAGACAAGUGGUCACUUCGACUAGCAGCUGCAAAGUUACGUACUAAGAAAAGCAGGAGUACCGUCAAACAAGCACAGAAGAUAAAUUUUUUCGAAGUACGUCUUAUAGAAGUUUUAUGUGGUUAGUUUUUGGACAUAUGGGAAAUAAAAGGUAUCCCUUACCGGCAUGUGCAUAUGACAAAAUAAGACGGCAGUUCCAACCAGCUGACAAUGACGAUUUUGUAGGAUUUGUGGAAGAGGAAAUCUCUUGAAAAUUUUCAACUGUUGUAUUUAGGGUUUGUGGGAUUAACUUCAAAUUAUAACAAAAACUAUAUUUAUAUGUAAUAUGAUUGUUUGAUUAUGUAAUAUGAUUGUUUGAUCUUGUUA